rnacentral:rRNA from 1 species
AUGUCUACGUUAGAGGGUUCGGAGACUGCUGAUUCCAUGGAUGAGGAUACGAGUCAAAUACCACAUGUUAGAAGGUCCAAGGUAUGGGAGCAUUAUGAAGUAGAUUUGGUUCUCGUAGAUGGUGAUUUCAAGGCUGUGUGCAAAUACUGUGGAGCGCAACUUCACACCAAGUUUGGGACUAGCAGUUUGAGGACCCAUAUUGCAGAGGCU